rnacentral:tRNA from 1 species
UGGCCUAGUGGUUAAGGCUAUGGACCGCCAAUCCGGAGACGGCGGAUUCGAUUUCCGU